rnacentral:rRNA from 1 species
CGAAGUCUGGUGCCAGCAGCCGCGGUAAUUCCAGCUCCAAUAGCGUAUAUUAAAGUUGUUGUCAGUUAAAAGCUCGUAGUUGAAUUUCGAGACCGGUUUAUUGGUCGUGCUUUUGUACGUACUGGUAUUAUUGGUUUCUCCUUUCUGACGAAUCAUAAUGCCAUUAAUUUGGUGUUUUGGGAAUCAGGACUGUUACUUUGAAAAAUUAGAGUGUUUAAAGCAGGCUCACGCUUGAAUACAUUAGCAUGGAAUAAUGAAAUAGGACGUUUGAUUCUAUUUUGUUGGUUUCUAGGAUUGACGUAAUGAUUAAUAGGGAUAGUUGGGGGCAUUAGUAUUCAAUUGUCAGAGGUGAAAUUCUUGGAUUUAUUGAAGACUAACUACUGCGAAAGCAUUUGCCAAGGAUGUUUUCAUUAAUCAAGAACGAAAGUUAGGGGGAUCGAAGACGAUCAGAUACCGUCGUAGUCUUAACCAUAAACUAUGCCGACUAGGGAUCGGAUGAUGUUAAUUUUUUAAUGACUCAUUCGGCGCCUUACG